ACGACGCUGGCGGCAGGCCUAACACAUGCAAGUCGAACGAACUCUUCGGAGUGAGUGGCGGACGGGUGAGUAACGCGUGAGAAUCUGGCUGUGGGUCGGGACAACCACUGGAAACGGUGGCUAAUACCGGAUGAGCCGAAAGGUAAGAUUUAUUGCCCACAGAUGAGCUCGCGUCUGAUUAGCUAGUUGGUAAGGUAAAGCGUACCAAAGCGACGAUCAGUAGCUGGUCUGAGAGGAUGAGCAGCCACACUGGGACUGAGACACGGCCCAGACUCCUACGGGAGGCAGCAGUGGGGAAUUUUCCGCAAUGGGCGAAAGCCUGACGGAGCAAGACCGCGUGGGGAGGAGGUUUU
rnacentral:rRNA from 1 species